rnacentral:rRNA from 1 species
GGAUGAACGCUGGCGGCGUGCCUAAUACAUGCAAAUCGAGCGAACGGACGAGAAGCUUGCUUCUCUGAUGUUAGCGGCGGACGGGUGAGUAACACGUGGAUAACCUACCUAUAAGACUGGGAUAACUUCGGGAAACCGGAGCUAAUACCGGAUAAUAUUUUGAACCGCAUGGUUCAAAAGUGAAAGACGGUCUUGCUGUCACUUAUAGAUGGAUCCGCGCUGCAUUAGCUAGUUGGUAAGGUAACGGCUUACCAAGGCAACGAUGCAUAGCCGACCUGAGAGGGUGAUCGGCCACACUGGAACUGAGACACGGUCCAGACUCCUACGGGAGGCAGCAGUAGGGAAUCUUCCGCAAUGGGCGAAAGCCUGACGGAGCAACGCCGCGUGAGUGAUGAAGGUCUUCGGAUCGUAAAACUCUGUUAUUAGGGAAGAACAUAUGUGUAAGUAACUGUGCACAUCUUGACGGUACCUAAUCAGAAAGCCACGGCUAACUACGUG